AAACAUGUCUUUUUGAAUUAAUUUAAAGUCCAAUCUGCCCACUGAUUAUAAAUUAAAGGGCUGCAGUAAUUUGACUGUACAAAGGUAGCAUAAUCAUUAGUCUUUUAAUUGAAGACUUGUAUGAAUGAUUUGAUGAGAUAUAAACUGUCUCUUAUUUAUAUUUAAAAUUUAAUUUUUUAGUUAAAAAGCUAAAAUACUUUUAAAAGACGAGAAGACCCUAUAGAGUUUUAUAAAUUUAUUAAUAAAAUAUUUAUAUAAAAUUUUAAUAUUUUAUUAAUAAAUUUAUUUUGUUGGGGUGAUAGAAAAAUAAAAAUAACUUUUUUUAAAAAUUAACAAAUAUAAUUGAGUAAAUGAUCCAAAAUAUUGAUUGAAAGAAAAAAUUACCUUAGGGAUAACAGCGUAAUAUUUUUUUUUAGUACGAAUAAAAAAAAAAGUUUGCGACCUCGAUGUUGGAUUAAGAUAAAAUUUAAAUGCAAAAGUUUAAAAUUUUGAUCUGUUCGAUCAUUAAAAUCUUACAUGAUCUGA
rnacentral:rRNA from 1 species